ensembl:rRNA 5S_rRNA 5S ribosomal RNA
GUCUAUGCCCAUGCUACCCUGAACAAGUCUAAUUCUGUCUGAUCUUGGAAGCUAAGCACGGUGGAGCCUGGUUAGUACUUGGAUGGGAGAACACCUAGGAAGACCAGGAGCUGUAGGCA